AAGUCGUAACAAGGCAACCGUAGGUGAACCUGCGGUUGGAUCAUUAAAGAAUGUUUGGCCCAUCUUUUUUUUGGAGAUGGGCCGCUGUUUUGGAUUUGGAUUUGGUGGUUUCCGCCAAGUUCAUUUUCUUCAAAAUAGUACACCCCCUUUGACGACCAAAACCGGAGCUUAUUGUAAUAAAUUACAACUUUUGACAAUGGAUCUCUUGGCUCUCC
rnacentral:misc_RNA from 1 species